UGCAAGUCGAACGGUGAAGCAGAGCUUGCUCUGUGGAUCAGUGGCGAACGGGUGAGUAACACGUGAGCAAUCUGCCCCUGACUCUGGGAUAAGCGCUGGAAACGGCGUCUAAUACCGGAUACGAGCUGCGAAGGCAUCUUCAGCAGUUGGAAAGAAUUUCGGUCAGGGAUGAGCUCGCGGCCUAUCAGCUUGUUGGUGAGGUAAUGGCUCACCAAGGCGUCGACGGGUAGCCGGCCUGAGAGGGUGACCGGCCACACUGGGACUGAGACACGGCCCAGACUCCUACGGGAGGCAGCAGUGGGGAAUAUUGCACAAUGGGCGCAAGCCUGAUGCAGCAACGCCGCGUGAGGGAUGACGGCCUUCGGGUUGUAAACCUCUUUUAGCAAGGAAGAAGCGAAAGUGACGGUACUUGCAGAAAAAGCGCCGGCUAACUACGUGCCAGCAGCCGCGGUAAUACGUAGGGCGCAAGCGUUAUCCGGAAUUAUUGGGCGUAAAGAGCUCGUAGGCGGUUUGUCGCGUCUGCUGUGAAAACUGGAGGCUCAACCUCCAGCCUGCAGUGGGUACGGGCAGACUAGAGUGCGGUAGGGGAGAUUGGAAUUCCUGGUGUAGCGGUGGAAUGCGCAGAUAUCAGGAGGAACACCGAUGGCGAAGGCAGAUCUCUGGGCCGUAACUGACGCUGAGGAGCGAAAGGGUGGGGAGCA
rnacentral:rRNA from 1 species